CUAACGGCUCUUUUAAGAGCCACCCAUAUGCUCAAAGACAGAGCUG
rfam:Equus caballus chromosome 20, whole genome shotgun sequence.